GCUACAUGCGCGAAAGGCCGACGAGCCGCACGCCAACGGCCAUUUUCUCUCCCAUAGAGUUUGAUGCGGUGGUGCGUGGUGCCGUGGUGCGACGGUACGGCCCCACGCCACGUAUCGACUAAGUAUCUGAUGGAACGGAGUGGGAUGGGGUGGGGAAGAGAGAUGGAGAGAGAAAGAAAGGAAGGGUGGUGUUUGCGUCCCGCCGCGUCGUGUACCCCAUCCCCCAGACAAUCGAUCACCCCUCUGCGACUAUCUCCGUCUUUGUCGGCAUUUUUUUUUCCAUCCGUAUCCUUUUUUCCCCGUUUACGGCGUGUUCUCGCGUAAAGGACUAAGGGGUGAGGUGUCUAGCUGUGGCGUGUCCUUGGCCGCUGGUGAUCCGUUCGUCGAAUGUUUCAGCGAGUGUUGACGCUUUAGACGUACAUGAACCAAACCAGCGUAUCGUUCAGAUAUUCCGCUACGUUAUAUUAUAUACGUCCGUUGUGACAGACGCUUGUGAGCGACGCGCCAGUGCGGUGGCGUGUCUACCCAGUCUACCAGUCUACUAGUCGCGCUUUUGCCUUCUGUCUCUUGCCUUCUCUCUCUCUCUCUCUCUCUCUCUCUCUCUCUCUCUCUGUCUCUCUUUCUCUGUGUCUUGUGUGCGUCUGCUGUCGCGUGUGAGAAAAAUCUGCCUCCGCACCACUCGUACUCUCUCGUGUGUCUGUCACGGGGAUCCCCUUCCGAGGAAAGGAUCCGGGAUCCUGUACGGCGAGGAAACAUGGGGAGAGGCACAUCGUUGUAUAUGAAUUCGAUUGACGAUCUGCAAUGAAUUUCCCGCCGUUUGGAAGUCAUUUCCCUAGUACUAUACCGAGUAUCCAUCAAUUCGCGACCGAUAGCUCCAGCGGUGCGGGCGCACGUUACGCCAAUCAUUUUCCCAACCAGCCUCCGAUCGGAGUGCCGGUUAUGGGAAAGUACCGUCCUGAGAAUAACGGCGUACAAUCCGCUCAGUCGCAAGUGAUGAUGAACAAUAAAAACAGUUAUCCCAACAGUAAUGUUCACCAUUAUCCAAAUGUGCCGUAUUCUCAAGCCCAAUCGGUUCAACAACGGCCGGCCAAUUCGCCUGGAAUGCAAGAGAAACGCUCGUAUCAUCAGCAGUCCACGGAAACUAUAAAUCAACAAGAUGUUUGCAAUCUUUUGCAAGACAAAGAUAAGAAUAAGGAGAAAAAAGCUGAAGAACAGCGCAAUGGAGAGACUGCUACAAAUGGUACUCAACAGGAUUACACCAUGCAUCAACAUCAUCAACAACAUGCUCAUACUCAGACUCCAGCCACUAUGCCCGCUACGUGGCAGUCGCUCGCUACUCCUGGAUCCACUGUAGCUGAUUAUCUCAGUCAUUUACCGGCUAGUACUUUACCAUUGAGUUUACAUCAUUUUCUUAAAUAUUCUGCCGAAAGUAUCAAAAAGGAAUCGGAGAUGGCACAAACUACUUCGGUGGCUGUGGCGACUACAACGACACCUAACAUAAUGAUGUCGCCGAAUAAUAAAAAGAAGAAAAAGAAGAAGACGCCAAAGGAAAAGAAGCCGCGUCCAAAACCUGGCGAGAUUCGUCUAACGACAGCAUUAGAUGGCUCGACGUUGUACUGUUGUCCGGAAUGUCAUAUGGCAUAUCCGGAACGAGAAUUGUUGGAACAGCAUCUUUUAGGUCACACCUUGGAAAGAAGAUUUGUCUGUGACAUAUGCGGCGCUGGCUUGAAACGAAAAGAUCAUCUUACGCGUCAUAAACAAAGUCACAAUCCUGAACGACCUUACGUUUGCACUGUUUGUUUGAAAGCUUUUAAGAGAAAGGAACAACUGACAUUACAUUUUGUAAUACAUUCUGGGGAGAAACGACACGUGUGCACUGAAUGUGGCAAAGGAUUUUAUCGGAAGGAUCAUCUACGGAAACAUACCAGAAGCCACAUUGCGAGAAGAGUGAAAGCUGAAUUAAGUCAAAAUGCUAGUGCGCAACAGAAUCAACAACAAAAUAACGUUUCGAAUAUGCAAACGACAACCGUUUCGGCAUCAUCUGUUCUUCCGGGCGGGCAUCCGGGCUCUCUCCUGUCCUGAGCCCCGCCACCAGGGAACUUUCAGGUUCCCCAUCCAAACAAUAUUCUUCAUACACAUACUUCGCAUCAUUCGCUGCAUCAUCAUCAUCUAACAGCGGUUAAUGUGGCGCAUCAGUCAAGUAUCACGCCACUUGCUACAUCCGGUCAUUAUCAAUCGCACGAGCUUAGUUUUUUGGGACAUGUUAAAGAUUUCUGAGACAAGGAGAGGACCUCGACAAAGAGGUAACACCAAGACGCUAACCGAUUGUCACUGUCUCAUUGUCGACUGGUAGAUGGACUAUGCAAAUAAUGGUAAAAGAUUAUGAAGAAUAGCUUUAUGAAAUUUAUAAGAGAAAGGAAAAAGAAUGAAUGUGAAAGAGAGAAAGAGAGAGAGCAGCAAAAUAUUUCCAAAGUUCGACAAAUGUCUUUGACUGUUCAAACAAAUGAGUGGCUCAAGAAGAUCUAUUUUGAAGGCUAGCUAAAAGAACCUAUUUCCAUCUUCGACGAGGCAAAUAGUUGAUUCUUGAUGGCUUGGAGAAUUGACCGUUUUGUCGUCGAGCUACGUAGUAGUAAUGUUCCUGUAGAAAAAGGAAAGAUAAUAGUGUUGAUGCGUUUCUAAAGAAGAGAAAUACUUUUCCGGUGCCUUUGUAUUGCGCUGGAUUUUCCGCAUCUAUAUAGUUUCCCAUCGUAACAUUUAAGAUCUAAAAAGCGGCGCGUUGUGCCUCUUUGUUUUUGAAACUACAUGUACAUUUAUCCGCCUUCACGUCGUUCGAGCAGCCGUUUUUAUUGUUUUUAUAUCAUUUUAUUUUUUUAAAUUUUCGAGAUCUUAUCCGGAAUAAUUUUAGUAAAUAAUAUGCCGCGAUAAUGUAGUUUAAUAAAGUACACUUUUCUCCUUCAGAAUACAAGUUCGUUGUUUUGUUUAAUUUUUUGAAAUGGAAUUAAGAGUGAUUUAACUCGGGGGACAAAAAAUAUAUAUAAAUACAAAUUGAACUUAUCUUUGUCACAUAAAACAUUCGAAUAACAUUUUAAAGGGAAUGAUUUUUGUUUUUUUUUUUAUAUUUUUGUUUUAUUCUAAAAAAAGUACAAGUUAUUUACUGAAUUUAUUUUUACAUCGCAGAAAAAAUAAUUGGGAUUAAUUAAAGAAUACCGUUAUUUCUGAAAUGUAUCAGGCGCGCUCGUUCGGUUUCGAUCAAAUUGGAGAUAUCGGUUAAACUUGAUUCUCCUUCAUCUUGAUUAAAUAGAAGCGAUCAAUUAAAAGUAUAUGAAUUUUAUAAAAGAUAUUCUGAUAAUAAUAAUAAGUAUAUAUAUAACACUAAUAAUAAUUCAUAGUAAUAACAAUAAUCAUAAUAAUAAUAUUAAUAACAACAACAACAACAACAAUAAUAAUAAUAAUAAUGGUAAUGCUAAUAAUAAUAUUAAUAACAAGGAUGAUAACUGUAAGAUUAGAAGCAACACGGAGAAAACAAGAUCCAAUUCUCUUAUAGCGUGCUUAAUACAAUUUACGCGAAACCCCGGAAAGCUGUAAGCAAUUUUUCGAGUCGGUAACGACUUUUAUUCGACGACGAAUCAUGUAUACGUAGAUUUUUUUCUUUUCAUGUUUUUAUAAUUAUACGAUAAUUUAAUAAUUUCUUGAUAUAUAGGGAAUAUAAGUAAACUUCGUUUUUUUUUUUUAAUAAUCUUUUGUAAUCGUUGCUCGAAACGAGAGUAGUUCUAUAUAAUAUAAUUUUUUUGCAAAUGUACUUGCAAGGAUAUAUCCUUUGUUCUCAUCGAUUCGUUUCGAGCAUCGAAUGUACCGUUGAACGGUAGAGAUAUUGUAAAGACGACUUUGUAAAUUUAUUUGAUCGGACAUCAAAGUUGACUACUUAACAAAAGGAUAGUGGAAAAAAUCUAAAAGAAAACCCGACCCCUCGUUGUAAUUCGAAUGUGAGUCUCUCAGGAGCAGCAAUGGCAAUGAAAACCAUAUUUUUCUAUAUACGCAGUGUCCUGGGACUUUCCAUUAUCUGUAUUAAAACUAUAGAGGAAAAAAAAGUGAAUUUGCUCCAUGUUCUCGCCGCAAGACGCGAAUAUAUCUUGAAUGUGAGUGUAAUUAUCAAUUGGUUCAUGCAAAACGACAAAAAAUUAGUUAAUACAUCAUUCUUUUUUUUACUUUUAUAUUUUAUAAUUGCUUGCCUUUUCUGUAUUUUUCCUUAUCCGCAACAUUUGUCGCGGAAUAUAGAGUACAAGCAUUCUCCGGAAAGAAUGGAAAAUUUUGCACGAACCAAAACGUACGUCGCUAUUGUGCGAAGAAUACCCAAUGGGCAGACUAUAUAGUUUAGGUUUUUUCUUUUUUCCUCCCUUAUCUCAAGUUCGACGCCUUGGUGCAUGUGUGCUACAAAUGCGUAAUACAUAUACAUAUAUGCGUAUAAUUGACAGAGUUCUCGACAAAUAUAACAGGCGAUUGACGAUAGAAAGACAUACAAAUUCCUCGACAUAGUACAAACGUUCAGAUUCUUCUUGUUUUCUCUUCGGAUAGAUUAUACGCGUGGGUAUACACACAGGAUGCGUGUGUAAUUAAUAUAUACAGAGUGAAAUAUUGUAAUAAUUACGGCUGACCUCGAAUUCUUUCUCUUGUCCAGUAUGGUCUUUCCGCGGGGAUAAAUCUUUUUCCGGAUAACAUCAGAUUUGUAUUUAUCGCGCAAUUAAAUUGAGGGGAUAGAUGAUAAUUUUAUAAUUGAAGACUUGAACUUAGGCGAAUCUUCUACAUGUAAUAAUGUCUAGACGUUGAAAUGUCUGUGCCUCCAUUUAGUUUGUAUUUUUGAAACAAAAAUUUCAAAUGUAAUUCUUAUAAAUUUUCUUGUCUUUUUUAGAUCUCUAUUUCAUUUCAAAGGCUAUUUUCAUUUUUCUGUAUGUGUGUUUAGACGAACGCUGAAAUUUCUACAGUUAAAUGCGCGCGGAUUGACUUCGAGGGCUUCCGGUGAUAAAUUAUUAAUAUAGCACUAACAGCUAUAUCAUAUUUUGCCUAAUCCAAGCAAUUUUUUUUUUGUAUAAAUGUGUGUAAUCUUUAAGCUCACAUUAUCUCCGAUUGUCUCCCUUUCUCAAGCUGAAUUUUGUACCGCAGUCUUCCAAGGUACAAAAAAAUAACCGAAAAUUAUUUGUCGUGCGUGAAUCAAAAACUGAUGAAUGAGCACAGUGAAAGAACAUAAAGAAGAAACAAAAGAACAGGCUAAAUGUGUGUUAAAAAAAAAAAAGAUAGAAGUGUAUGUAUAAUUAAGCCCUCUGAUAAUGUCAACGUUUUAUUUUUAUAUAGAACGCUUAAAAUGUCGAUUUUAAGAACGCGAGAUGAGAAAAUUGAAUGAACGCAAGAUGAAAGAGCGAAUGUGAAUAAUAUAACAAAAAAAGAGAAAAAUAUUUAGAGAGACGUAGGUGUGAGCUAGACGCUGAUAAACUUAAGCCGCGAAAGAAUGGAGAUUUGCAAUUUGCGCGCGUUUCUAAGAUACUUCAGAUCUAAAAAAAUAUGCUUCUCAUGUAUAAUAUAUCCUAUAUGUUAUAUCACACAUUCUAUGUAUACACAUAUACAUAUAUACAUAGAUAUGCAUCCACGAAAAUGCGUAACGUAUAUCUUUUCUUACAAUUCUUUAUACAUAUAAAUAUGUAUAUAAAUUGUAAGAAAAGUGAUAUAUCGGAAAAUUUUUUAUUGUUCGGAGCUUAUCCCCGGAAAAGAAUUUACUCUCUCUCUAUCCCUAUCCUGCGCGUUACUCUCUAUUUUCUUUUUUCCCUUGCGCGAGAAUGAGAUUGUCGAUCAAUUUGAGUAUGCGUUUUUGCAUUCCCAAUAACUGUAUUAUAUACAUAAACGAGGUAGAUAUUUUUAUAUAUAUAAUAAUCAUUUAUUAAUUUAUAAAUAAGACUCACUGCGAUCGAUGACACAAUACUCUAUCCUUUCCAUCUUUUCUUUCAUUUUAGGGACUUAGAUCGUACUCUAUCAUCCCGCGCAUUGUUUGUGUGAAUGUACAAGAGCGCAACUUGACAGUAUAAUGAGAAAAUGCCAAUAAAAUACCAUGAAUUUUCAUACAAGUACAACUAUAAUGUAUGUAGAGCCCGACUCGCGCGUGUGCGCAACGUAGGUAUAUUAUUACGUUGGAAAUGGAAGAAUCGACAUUAUAUAUGCAUAUUUUGUGUCUUUUCAAAACAUACAGGACACAACGUCCGAAUAUAUUUUCUCCAAAUCUACUUGCAACGAAAAAUGGCAGAGAAGUUGUUAACAAGAUUUCGAUACACACGUAAAUUUUUUUUUCAACGAUGCUAUAAACAGCACAAACCAUCCUUCUAAAUAACAAUAAAUUAUAUCUACUGAUAUACAUCAGUGAAUCCACAGAGAUAACAUGUCCUUAUAUUUUGUUGUUGCAUACUCUAACUAUUUUUUAUAAUUUUGUAAAAUCAUAAAUUAAUGCGUUUUUAUUAAUCGCCGUACAAAGAUUUAUCCUAAUAUUUAUAUUCCGUAUACUCGAUGGAAAUGUUUAAUAAUCCACAAAAAAAGUAAAACCUGCAGAUUUUUAUUUCUACAAUAUUAGCGCUUUACAAUAUUACUCUACAAUUAGUCUCCCAAUUUGAUGAAGACUACCUUGCUUCUCUACUUUAAAUGCAAAUGCAAAAGAAAAAGAAACUAACAAAUUUGGGAAUCGCGUUAUUGCCAAGUAUUAGUUUUCUUCAAGUAUUAGCUUUCUUCGUUACAAUUGAUAUCAAUAUAAAGGUCUAACGCGGUUCACGAUGCCAUAAUCUGUUUCUAUUGCCUUUUAACGGCUAGUUAAAUUUAUAUCUUUUUCAAUGCAACAAAGAGAAUAAUAUCGCUCUGGAUAACAAACAGAAAUGAAGAGCGAAUAUCAAAAUAAGAUUCAAAUUUAAAUCUAUUUAAAACGAUCAGUGUAGAGAUAAAAUAAUCUGUGUUCUGGCUGCUCGUAUUAUACAUAUAUAUAAUUUAUAAAAACAUUCACUGGAUUCACAAGCUUAUCAAGACCAAACUCUUUUUUUUUCCUUUUUUUU